GACGAACGCUGGCGGCGUGCUUAACACAUGCAAGUCGAACGAUGAAGGAGAGCUUGCUCUCCGGAUUAGUGGCGAACGGGUGAGUAACAUGUGACUAACCUGCCCCUUUCUCUGGGAUAACGCUCCGAAAGGAGUGCUAAUACCGGAUACGAACUCUGAACACAUGUUCGGAGUUGGAAAGUUUUUCGGAAAGGGAUGGAGUCGCGGCCUAUCAGCUUGUUGGUGAGGUAACGGCUCACCAAGGCGACGACGGGUAGCCGGCCUGAGAGGGCGACCGGCCACACUGGGACUGAGACACGGCCCAGACUCCUACGGGAGGCAGCAGUGGGGAACAUUGCACAAUGGGCGAAAGCCUGAUGCAGCGACGCCGCGUGAGGGAUGAAGGUCUUCGGAUUGUAAACCUCUUUCAGUAGGGACGAAGCGAAAGUGACGGUACCUAAAGAAGAAGCACCGGCUAACUACGUGCCAGCAGCCGCCGCGG
rnacentral:rRNA from 1 species